UAAGGUGAGGUUUUAACCUUUUGGAUUCAAGAGGUGGGUUUCUCUAGUACGGAUGUUUUGUACAUGAUACAUUGUAAAUUUUUUUGGGCUAAAUUAUCAAAUUGGCAUUUUGGCAGGAGUCUAUUCAAAUUAUGGCCACAUUUGAUUGCCUCAUGAAGACUUAUGGGUUCCUGGCACCAGACUGCAAAGAGUACAUGAAUAUACUGCAAAGAGUUAAAGAAGAGAGGGAACUAAAAUAAAUGCGGAAAAGAAGGAUAACUACAUGCUAUAUUAUUGUAUAAUGUCUACAUAUGUUUUCCUUUACUGAUCUUCAUUGCUUAUUGCGGUAGGAAACCCCCUCGACCAAUAUUUCCAGGUCCUUGUGAAGACAUUUUUCCUUGCGACAUGAUUUGGGACCGUCCAGGGCCUUGAACAAAUGAUGUAUUUUUGUUUGUCGAUAUUUGCAAUUUGUUGAAAUACAUUUAAAUACUGAAUAUGUCUUUGAAAUAACUCCAUAUUGUGAGUAGUGAUAGUUUUUGUCUAAA